AACAUGAUGUUUUCUAAAGGAAAUGUUAUGAAAUGUGAACUAUACCAAAGUGAUGAUCUUUCAAAUCAGUUGAUAAUUAUUUAAUAUGAAUGAAUGGAUGAAAUAAUAAUGAUCAGAGACAUGAUGGAAGUUGAUAACUCAAAUGUUUCUUAACAUUAAUG